rnacentral:rRNA from 1 species
AGUGAACGCUGGCGGUAGGCCUAACACAUGCAAGUCGAACGGCAGCACAGUAAGAGCUCGCCAUUACGGGUGGCGAGUGGCGGACGGGUGAGGCAUACAUCGGAAUCUACUUUUUCGUGGGGGACAACGUAGGGAAACUGACGCUAAUACCGCAUACGACCUACGGGUGAAAGCAGGGGAUCUUCGGACCUUUCGCGCUCGAAUGAGCCGACGUCGGAUUAGCUAGUUGGCUGGGUAAAGGCCCACCAAGGAGACGAUCCGUAGCUGGUCUGAGAGGAUGAUCAGCCACACUGGAACUGAGACACGGUCCAGACUCCUACGGGAGGAAGCAGUGGGGAAUAUUGGACAAUGGGCGCAAGCCUGAUCCAGCCAUACCGCGUGGGUGAAGAAGGCCUUCGGGUUGUAAAGCCCUUUUGUUGGGAAAGAAAAGCAGCAGGUUAAUACCCCGCUGUUCUGACGGUAACCAACGAAUAAGCACCGGCUAACUUCGUG